UUGGUCGCCACUCUGUUUCUGUUAAAGAAAAAUUCCCUCUUAAUUGUCUUAAAAUAUACUAUGCAUUAUAGGUCCUUUCUUAAACAUUUUUCAUAAUGAUUUCGGUUUUCAUAUUGAAGCGCCAAAUGCAACACACAAAUGGUGAAGAAGGGAUUGGGCUUUCUUCUAAUGGGCCUGAUAGAAACCAGUGGGCUUGGAAUUGGCUUGACCAUUGGAUGUCUUCUCAGCCAUACACAGGCCGUCAAACCGGCCCGGCUCCCGGUCCCGGACAGUACAAUCCUCCUCCGUAUCCGCCUUUUCCGACAGCCGCAGCAACCACAACAUCUGAUGAUGUAUCGGAGAAGACGGUGGAAAUGGACGUGACCACUCCCACUAGCCUCAAGGCCAAUAUAAUCGGGCUUAUUGAUCGAGAGUAUAUAGACUUAGGAUCAUAUAGACAAGGCCAUAAGCAACGGAAAAGCCCAACCCAUAUACCAAGCUAUAUGGCUCCAACCGCAUCUGCUAAGGC
rnacentral:lncRNA from 1 species